GUCUUGUUGAAAAUAAUUUUAAGUCUGGCCUGCCCAAUGAUAUGUGUUUAAUGGCCGCGGUAAAUUGACCGUGCAAAGGUAGCAUAAUCAUUAGUUUUUUAAUUGAAAGCUGGAAUGAAAGGUUUAAUGAGAAAAUAUCUGUCUCUAUAAAGAAGUAACUAGAAUUUUAUUUUUAAGUUAGAAAGCUUAAAUAUAUAUAGAAGACGAGAAGACCCUUUAGAGUUUUAUAUUUAUAUAAAUAGUUGAGUAAUAUAAUGAAACUAAUUUUUAUAAAUAUUUUAUUGGGGUGAUAAAAAAAUUUAUUAAACUUUUUUUUAAUAUAUACAUUUAUUUGUGGAUAAUUGAUCCUGAAUUAAGAUUAAAAGAUAAAAUUACCUAAGGGAUAACAGCGUAAUUUUUUUUAGAGUUCUUAUCGAAAAAAGAGAUUGCGACCUCGAUGUUGGAUUAAAAUAAAUUGUUGGCGAAGAAGUUAAUGUAUUAGGUCUGUUCGACCUUUAAAAUUUUACAUGAUCUGAGUUUAGAUCGGCGUGAG
rnacentral:rRNA from 1 species